rnacentral:rRNA from 1 species
UACGUAGGGGCAAGCGUUGUCCGGAAUUAUUGGGCGUAAAGAGCGCGUAGGCGGUCCGAUAAGUCGGCUGUGAAGUCAGGGCUCAACCCUGAAAGCCGGCCGAUACUGUCGGACUAGAGUCCGGAAGAGGCAAGUGGAAUUCCCGGUGUAGCGGUGAAAUGCGCAGGAUAUCGGGAGGACACCAAUGGCGAAGGCAAGCUUGCUGGACGGUACUGACGCUGAGGCGC